GCGGCAGGCUUAACACAUGCAAGUCGAGCGGAGGCGAGGGUGCUUGCACCUUAGCUUAGCGGCGGACGGGUGGAGUAAUGCUUUAGGAAUCUGCCUAUUAGUGGGGGACAACAUUCCGAAAGGGAUGCUAAUACCGCAUACGCCCUACGGGGGAAAGCAGGGGAUCUUCGGACCUUGCGCUAAUAGAUGAGCCUAAGUCGGAUUUAGCUAGUUGGUGGGGUAAAGGCCUACCAAGGCGACGAUCUGUAGCGGGUCUGAGAGGAUGAUCCGCCACACUGGGAAUGAGACACGGCCCAGACUCCUACGGGAGGCAGCAGUGGGGAAUAUUGGACAAUGGGGGGAACCCAUGAUCCAGCCAUGCCGCGUGUGUGAAGAAGGCCUUUUGGUUGUAA
rnacentral:rRNA from 1 species